rnacentral:rRNA from 1 species
UACGUAGGGGGCGAGCGUUGUCCGGAGUUACUGGGCGUAAAGGGCGUGCAGGCGGUGCGGUAAGUUUAGAGUGACAGUAUCCGGCUUAACUGGAUAAGGCCUCUGAAAACUGCCGGACUUGAGGGCCAGAGAGGGACAUAGAAUUCCGGGUGGAGUGGUGAAAUGCGUAGAUAUCCGGAGGAAUACCAAAGGCGAAGGCAGUGUCCUGGCUGGCAACUGACGCUGAGGCGCGAAAGCUAGGGGAGCGAAUGGG